GCGACGGUAACCGGUAGUGCUGUGUUCGCACCUCGAUACAUCAACCCCUCCACGGAUUAUGUAUCGUUCUCACCAGAUGUGCAGAAAUCCAGAGAGAUGCCAAACAGCAGCGAAAACGAGGUGGCGCAAAACAGUGCUGAAGGCUCGGGGAAAAGAGAGGUGAGAGGAUGAAAAGUUGUGCGUGCGGCAAACGUGCAUGGCUGCCUGAAAGGCGUGGAGGGGUUGAUGUAUCGAGGUGCGGACACAGCACUACCGGUUACCGGCGC
rnacentral:miRNA from 1 species